rnacentral:rRNA from 1 species
UACAGAGGGUGCGAGCGUUGUUCGGAAUUAUUGGGCGUAAAGCGCUUGUAGGCGGCCCAUCAAGUCUCGUGUGAAAUCCCCAGGCUUAACCUGGGAAGUGACGCGGGAAACUGGUGGCUUGAGUGCCGGAGAGGGUCGCGGAAUUCCCGGUGUAGAGGUGAAAUUCGUAGAUAUCGGGAGGAACACCAGUGGCGAAGGCGGCGACCUGGACGGACACUGACGCUGAGACGCGAAAGCGUGGGUAGCAAACAGGAUUAGAU